rnacentral:rRNA from 1 species
UGAAUUUAAGCAUAUCAAUAAGCGGAGGAAAAGAAACUAACCAGGAUUCCCCCAGUAACGGCGAGCGAAGAGGGAAGAGCUCGAGCCUGAAAUCCCCGGCGCCUGGCGCCGGAGAAUUGUGGCCGGGAGAGGCAGCCGUGCCCGGACUGGCGCUGUCGAAGUUGACCUGGAAAGGCACGUCAGAGAGGGUGAGAGCCCCGUGCGCGACACCGCUAGGCCGGGCUGCUACUGUCUUCGGAGAGUCGGGUUGUUUGGGAUUGCAGCCCAAAGUGGGUGGUAAACUCCAUCUAAAGCUAAAUACUGGCACGAGACCGAUAGCGAACAAGUACCGUGAGGGAAAGGUGAAAAGUACUUUGAAAAGAGAGUCAAAAAGACCGCGAAACCGUUAGGAGGGAAACGAAUGCGGCUGAAGUGGCUCCCCGUCAGGCUCAAGAGACGUCGUCGGGUCUCGAGGGUGGCGGUUGAUUCCGCGCCCGUGAGACGCCCGUCGACCGCUCUGCACUUCUGCGGGGGGCCGGCCAACGUCAGUUGCCCCCGGCCCAUGAGGGCGUCGUGGGAAGGUGGCUCCGUGCGCAUGCGCGGAGAACUUAUAGCCCGGCGUCAUUGGCGUUCCGGGGAGCGACUGAGGAGAGUUGCGAGUCUUUCGCACGUCGCGGCGCAGGCCUCUCGAGGCUGGGCCCCGGCCCGUCGGCGGGCGUCCGAGACCCUCACUGCGUGCAGUGGAGGCCUACGGUUCUCUCUCCGGCGGGCAGGUCGGUCGCACCUUGCGUCGCAGUCGUNNNNNNNNNNNNNNNNNNNNNNNNNCCGUCUUGAAACACGGACCAAGGAGUGCAACAUGCGUGNGAGUCCGNGGGUGGCAAACCCGUCGGCGCAAUGAAAGUGAAGGCAGGCGUUUGGCCUGCUGUGGCGAGAGCCUCCCUCGUUGGGGGCGCAUNGUNGACCGAUCCCAGGNUACGNUGUGGCGGGAUUUGAGUGAGAGCGUGCCUGUUGCGACCCGAAAGAUGGUGAACUAUGCCUGAAUAGGGUGAAGCCAGGGGAAACCCUGGUGGAAGCUCGUAGCGAUUCUGACGUGCAAAUCGAUCGUCAAAUUUGGGUAUAGGGGCGAAAGACUAAUCGAACCAUCUAGUAGCUGGUUCCCUCCGAAGUUUCCCUCAGGAUAGCUGGAGCCCGGUGCAGUUUUAUCAGGUAAAGCGAAUGAUUAGAGGUCUUGGGGCUGAAACAGCUUCAACCUAUUCUCAAACUUUAAAUGGGUAAGAAGCCUGGCUUGCUCGGUUGAAGUCAGGCAGUGAAUGCCGGGGCUCCCAGUGGGCCAUUUUUGGUAAGCAGAACUGGCGAUGUGGGAUGAACCAAAUGCCGGGUUAAGGUGCCUGAAUCGACGCUCAUCAGAUCCCANUGAAAGGUGUUGGUUGAUACNNGACAGCAGGACGGUGGCCAUGGAAGUC